AGAACGAACGCUGGCGGCAGGCCUCAAACAUGCAAGUCUAGGGGGUGUAGCAAUACAUCACCGGCGGACGGGUGCGUAACACGUGGGAAUGUACCUACUGGUUCGGAACAACGCAGGGAAACUUGCGCUAAUACCGGAUAAGCCCUUCGGGGGGAAAGAUUUAUCGCCAGUAGAUCAGCCUGCGUCCGAUUAGCUAGUUGGUGAGGUAACGGCUCACCAAGGCGACGAUCGGUAGCUGUUCUGAGAGGAAGAUCAGCCACACUGGGACUGAGACACGGCCCAGACUCCUACGGGAGGCAGCAGUUGGGAAUCUUGGACAAUGGGGGAAACCCUGAUCCAGCCAUGCCGCGUGAGUGAUGAAGGCCUUCGGGUUGUAAAACUCUUUCGACGGGACGAUAAUGACGGUACCGUAGAAGAAGCUCCGGCUAACUUCGUGCCAGCAGCCGC
rnacentral:rRNA from 1 species